AGACCACACACACCUACAGACCACAUAAUUUUAGGGCAAAUCAUUAUUAAAGCCUCCCCAAUGGCCUCCAUCUCUAUUCUCGUUCUUAACUCUAAACUUGCCCUCUCUCUAUCUCUGCAACUACAAACUACAAAAUGUACAAGAAUCAGAUCGGCCUUCUAGAUAGCCUCCAUCUCUAUUCUCGUUCUCAACUCUGAACUUGCCCUCUCUCUGUCUUUGCAACUACAAACUACAAAAUCUACAAGAAUCAGAACCCAUAUCGGCAUAUCAUUUCAGAUUGUUCAAAAAAUCAAAACCCAUAUCCUUCAGUUUCCAUCGCCUGCUGUUCUAGUUCAGGUUCGCCAAUCGAAAGCUUCAGCCUCAGGCCCGUUGUCUCUCAACUCUCAAGCCUUCUCUACUCUCUCAUAAGGAUGACGUUGAGUAACGACUUGAAGAUCAGCAAUCGACCAAAAUUACAAAACUCUACAGUAUGCAGCUGCUAGAGCAUGGACUAAAUGGGAAAUGAUGACUGCUCAUCUUCUUCCAAAUGAAGAGAAUAUCAAGAGAGGGGAUGAUGAUAAGUUUUCAUUGAUUGCAGGGAGGAGAUAAUAGCUUACUUUCGCUUUCUCCCUCAAGCUAAUACAAGCAAGGAUGCAGACUUAUGGAUCCCAACAGACACAAAGCAGUGGCAGCAACCUCCUUUAAUAACACCUAUUAAAUCAAUGAGUAGUGAACCUCUUUGUGUGCAGCUAUAUUUGGAACAUCCAAGUUUCUUUGAACCAAAGCCUUAAGGAGAGCAGCCACUACAAUCACUAUAAAGCAGGCUACAAAAAGAAAGCCACCUCUACUGGAUCAGUCUUGGAGGGCUCAGGAUCUUCUAGGAGCUCAGUGCCAUCAACGAUUAUGAAUGAGUCUCCAUCGGAAAAUGAAAGAAAGUUGCAUGUGAAAACUGAGGUUUGAAUGAGCUUAUUAUGCAAUUAAGGCACUGCUUUGAGAUGUUUGUGGGUAUUAUCACUGGAAACCUCACGAGACUACAACUCGUCCACUAAGGGUAACCUAAGGCUUUAAAGGCUUGUUGCAUAAGCUAAAUGCAACCGUGAUUCCCAUGAAAGCGGCUUUUUAGUUCUGUAUUACUAAGCGACUAACAAUAUGUACUUUCCUAAAGAAAUGAUUAAAACUGGGAUUUUAAGAUGAAAAGACCGAUAUUGAAGCUUAUAGAGUCGUUGCUGAUCAUCUGAAGCAAGUUUGAGGUUAAAAUGACGAUUUUAGAGACGUUUAAGUGCCACAGCUCGAGCAUAAGUUCCAUAGCUCGAGACUAAAGUCAAUAAAAGCAAGGAAAUCAACUAAGGCUAAAAAUCUUGAGCCAUGAUAUCUCAGCUCAAGUCGAAACUUAAGGUGCUCGAGUGUUUGCAAAAAUGUUUGAGCAAAAGUGCCUCAAAAUAUGAAAAGAUGCUUCAGAAGUUCCAUAUUGCCAGAUCACGAGCCUAAGCCAAAAGGCUCGAGCCUUUUCCCAAAAAACUCGAGUUGAAGUCCCAAGGCUCGAGUACCAAGUCAUGGUGAUCGAGUACUGUUCAGAAGAAUCCCAAAAAUAUUCUAAGUGUUGAUGAAAAAGACGCUUUAGAAAAGAUUUGAAGAAAAAUGACUAAGUAUAGAAGUUUGGCUCGAGCAACCUUCCAAAUAGCUUGAGCCUAUGCCAAAAAGCUUGAGCUUAAGCUUCAUAACUUGAGCCCUUGUUGUUAAGUCAUAAUUUUAAGUUGCUCAAAACUUGGUGUGUGACUGUGGUCGCAUACGCACAAAAAUUGCUUGAUGAUUGUGGCCAAGUUUAAAUUUGUAAAAGCCACUACCAUUACUAAUUACUAACAUAGCAAAAGUGAGUAGGGAUCAUCCCAAGGGAUUUGCAAGGUAUUCCAGAAUUAAUGUUGGGUUAGUAGGUCAAAUAAUCAAAUAGGGUUUGAUUAGUUGAAUUACACUAAUGGUUCAAUUAAAAUCAUAUAAAUUAACAACAAUCUAGAAUUUAGGGAAAAGAGUAUGAGAGAAUGGUCUUGGGCUUAGAGUUCACCACUAAGCUUCACUUCACCAAACACUAGCAAUUAUAAAUUAAAAGGGAAAUUCAUGUUGUAAAUCUAAUGUGUGUGUGUGUCAUUAAUUGAAAACUAAGCAUGGAUGGCAAAUAAGCAUAAAUUGUCCAAUCAAUUUAAUGAGUAUCAUAACCUAUAAAAAAAAACACCAUUAACCAUUCAAU